AGUGAACGCUGGCGGUAGGCCUAACACAUGCAAGUCGAACGGCAGCACAGUAAGAGCUUGCUCUUACGGGUGGCGAGUGGCGGACGGGUGAGGAAUACAUCGGAAUCUACUUUUUCGUGGGGGAUAACGUAGGGAAACUUACGCUAAUACCGCAUACGACCUACGGGUGAAAGCAGGGGAUCUUCGGACCUUGCGCGAUUGAAUGAGCCGAUGUCGGAUUAGCUAGUUGGCGGGGUAAAGGCCCACCAAGGCGACGAUCCGUAGCUGGUCUGAGAGGAUGAUCAGCCACACUGGAAGUGGGACACGGUCAAGAGUACUACGGGAGGGAGCAGUGGGGAAGAGUGGACAAUGGGGGGAAGCAUGAUCCAGCCAUACCGAGUAGGAGAAGAAGGCCUUCGGGUUGGAAAGCCCUUUUGUUGGGAAAGAAAAGCAGCAGGUUAAUACCCCGCUGGUGUGACGGUACCCAAAGAAUAAGCACCGGCUAACUUCGUG
rnacentral:rRNA from 1 species